UAAUAAAUUGAUCGUUGGUUACUUAACGUCCAGUGACAAAUAUUUCAUGCAUGUUUAGGACGCAAGAUGGUAAACUAUAAAAGGUCCCGUUAUGACAGAAGGAAAAACUAUAAUUAACUUAACCGUAACAGAAAUAAAAUGAACAGCUUAAGUUAUGAAAUAUAAUAAUAAACUUGUGUAUUUUUCAGAUAGCAUACCAAAAUUUAACUGAAGAAGAAAGAUUGUUUUUGAGAAACGCUCAUCUAGAUGUUGACGACGAAGUAGAAAAUGAGUGUGAAAUCAAACCAGAAAAUAAUCAGCAGGAGAAUAUUAUGGAUACGGCAACUGAUGAGAAUGAUGACCAGAUAUCAUUAGAAGGAAAUAAGUUUGACAAGUGAAAACGUGCAGAGCUGCCAAGUAUUAAUAAUGGAAGAAAAAGAAAACCAGGUGGUACAAAAUAACACAGCUUCCCCUUACUACAGUGAAAUGUAUAGAAAAAGAUUUGGAAGACCCCCAUCUUUAAUGAGCUCAGAAAGUCCAAGCAAAAGGAUC